CAACAACAGGUGCGUCCGACCAGCGUACGAGGGCAGCACAAGACGGCUCUUGAAAUGCAGCAGGGACCAUAAACGGGACAUUGGUAACGACUACAAACACAGGGAACUUCUCCUGUCACCAGCUUACCAGUGGGUCAAACCAGUUGUGGUUUGAUUGGCGACCAGCCCCCCCCCCCAUGGCUCUCUGAAGAGGAACAUCCAAGAAGCCGGGACUUUUGAUUGCACUUAGAAUGGCUCUGCCAUUAAAAAAACAUGGAGUCUUGGCUGUGAAUCCUUCACUCUGUUUAAACAUCAUCUGGCUUCAGUGGAGAUGUGGAACAAGCACACACUUAUAAAAGACUCAUAAGACUGGGGUGCCUUGGGAG